UCACUUCCGCAGGCUGGCCACCCCCCCAGGCUGGGCUGGACGAGUAUCUCUUCCAAAGGCUUACCCUCAAUCAUGACUAGGAGC
rnacentral:pre_miRNA from 1 species